GACGAACGCUGGCGGCGUGCUUAACACAUGCAAGUCGAACGGAAAGGCCCUGCUUGCAGGGUACUCGAGUGGCGAACGGGUGAGUAACACGUGGGUGAUCUGCCCUGCACUUCGGGAUAAGCCUGGGAAACUGGGUCUAAUACCGGAUAGGAGCCAUUUUUAGUGUGAUGGCUGGAAAGUUUUUUCGGUGUAGGAUGAGCUCGCGGCCUAUCAGCUUGUUGGUGGGGUAAUGGCCUACCAAGGCGGCGACGGGUAGCCGGCCUGAGAGGGUGGACGGCCACAUUGGGACUGAGAUACGGCCCAGACUCCUACGGGAGGCAGCAGUGGGGAAUAUUGCACAAUGGGCGCAAGCCUGAUGCAGCGACGCUGCGUGGGGGAUGACGGCCUUCGGGUUGUAAACUCCUUUCGCUAGGGACGAAGCUUUUUGUGACGGUACCUAGAUAAGAAGCACCGGCUAACUACGUG
rnacentral:rRNA from 1 species